rnacentral:rRNA from 1 species
UACGUAGGGGGCAAGCGUUGUCCGGAAUCAUUGGGCGUAAAGCGCGUGUAGGCGGCUCGGUAAGUCUGCUGUGAAAGUCCAGGGCUCAACCCUGGGAUGCCGGUGGAUACUGUCGAGCUCGAGUCCGGAAGAGGCGAGUGGAAUUCCUGGUGUAGCGGUGAAAUGCGCAGAUAUCAGGAGGAACACCAAUGGCGAAGGCAGCUCCGCUGGGACGUGACUGACGCUGAGACGCGAAAGCGUGGGGAGCAAACAG